GACGAACGCUGGCGGCGUGCCUAACACAUGCAAGUCUAGGGAGAAAGGGGUAGCAAUAUCCCGAGUACACCGGCGCAAGGGUGAGUAACACGUAGGCAACCUGCCUUCAGGACGGGAAUAACCCCGAGAAAUACGAGACUAAUACCCGACUAAUGUUCCGCUGCAGCAUUGCAGCGGCAUUAAAAGUACGCAAGACGCCUGGAGAUGGGCC
rnacentral:rRNA from 1 species